GUUAGGCUCAUGUGACAAGAUGAAACCCUGAGAGCUAUCACAGGGAACAGAGAUGAGUGGAGAAAUAUCAUCAAUGGAAAUUACAUGAUGAGAUUCUCUAAUGCUCUAAAUUCUGCUUUCUUGAAACCUGAUACCCUUUUACUGUUACUCCUGGCCAGACAGAACAGGCAGUUGUAGAAUUACAGAUGUGCCAUAGCAUCACAUAUAAGGUGUCACAUCAGUGCAUAUCUGUAUACAAGAGAACCUGAGAGUUACGAACUGACCAAUCAACCACACACCUCAUUUGGAACCUGAAGUACGCACAGCAGUAGAGACAAAAAAAAAAGGCAAAUACAGAGUAGUGCUGUGUUAAACAUAAACUACUAAAAAAAAUAAGAGAAAGUUUAAAAAAUAAAUAUUUGACAAGGUAGUUGACAUCAAGUCUAGCCAGCAAUUCUGAAUGGACUAUUCAAGACUGAUGGCUCAUUAAAGACACAACUCUCAUAAUGGGCCAGAGAAGAAAUUCAUCGCCCUCAGCAAGUAUUCCUGAGGAUGCCCCAGCCAGAUUAUGAGCAAUGGCUGCCCCUGUUAGCCAGCAAGCUUUGUAGGGUCAUGUGACCUGUACUCCAUCUUGUGCCAGUAAUUUUCCACAAAUUGUGCUAUUAGCUUUGUUUCGGGACAGUAAAAUUCCAAGCACAAGGCAGAGAGUAUAAAAGACCCUUCAGUCAUCUCCAUGUUGCCUCUUUCCUGCUCUGAUUCUCUGAACUAUGGACUUACAACUAAAAGGAGCAGUCUAAACUAUGGACUGGGGACCUUCCAAUCUUCUGAAAGUUACCAGAGACUCCACAAGCCAGCAGUUUAUUCCAUCAAUGCUUCAAACCUGAUAUAAGAACUUUGCAACUAUUGUGUGUAUAUGAUCUGUUAACCAUUU